rnacentral:snRNA from 1 species
GGAUGUGAGGGUUAUCUGUUUGUGGUAUCUGUCACACUUUGACAACCAGGGUUGACUCAGCUGGCCUGGCUGGCAAGGCGGGUGUCCCCUUCCUGCCUCACUGCUCCAUGUGCAUCCCUCCAGAAGCUGUGUACUAGGUCGAGGAGGGUGACACUUCCCAAUAGAUGAGCAUUGGGGAAUGUCCCCCUAGCGUUCCGUUGCGAGAACCUCCAAACAAGCAGUCAAAAUUCCCCUCCUCUUUGCAGCACCACCUCAAAUACUUUUUCUUCUGUGAAGGCUUUGUAAAUGCCUCAAUAC